rnacentral:tRNA from 1 species
UGGCUCAAUGGGUAAAAGCACUGGAUGUUCUUCCAGAGGUCCUGGGUUCAAUUCCCAG